AAUGAAGGUUAUUUUAGGAUUUUUUUAAAACAGUAAAAUAACCAAAAUAUGCCAAAGUUGGUACUCAACUACCAAAGAAACCAAACCCAACAUCAUCCAAACGGAGUUGCCGUUCAACCCUGGCUAGAACAGUCAUAGUUUCUGCGCACGUCCGCCACACGUGCCGCUAGCAGCAGAGGUCCGUGAGCCGCACAUGCUGCCGGUUUCAUCCCAUUUGGCCCGAACAACGGUGGAAUACUGCCAGAAAAGCCUGAUUGAGACAAAUCUGGUUCCUUUCCGCACAAAAUCCGGCUUGAUCGCGAUUAUCCGACUUUUUUUUUUUUUUUUUUUUUUCACGCGGUUGCAUGUGUUCGGGAGAUUUGCCAUUUUGCGCCCUCUGUCGCUCCGAUCUGGCCGAUCCGUGUUUGGAGACGGGUCGAUUGAUCCUCUUGCACGCCAGGCUGCUCCGGUCGCGCGAUGAGUCGCGCUGCAUUGAUCGGACAAAGACCAUCCCUCGUGCUAGUUUGCUUUUCCGCGCACGGGAUGUCUGGUGUGGCCAUUCCGCGCACCAGAUCACUCCGACCUGGUCCGUCUGCACUUGAGUAGAGCUGUCCGUGUCCGAGCCGACGCUAAACCAAGCUGAGCAGAGUCAAGUCGAGCCGAGCCAUAUCUAGUUUUGGUUUUUUGGUCAUUUUUCUGAUUUUUUGGGUCCUUUUUUGUCUCUUUGGUGCAGAUAGGAGAUCCAGUUUUUAUUAUUGAAUAUUUUUUCUUCUUAUUUUUAGCACUCUAAGAUGACAAUAAAAAAUAUGAGUGUUAAUAGUUUUAGUAACCCUUCAUUACAAAUCAGUCUCGU
rnacentral:lncRNA from 1 species